rnacentral:tRNA from 1 species
UGGCAACCGGUUGGGGUUUGUGUUUCGGCCACGAGUUUGAGGCUAAGGUGUCUCUGCCAA